UACGGAGGGUGCAAGCGUUGCUCGGAAUUAUUGGGCGUAAAGGGUAGGUAGGUGGUCUUAUUUGUCUGGUGUGAAAUCUCCACGCUCAACGUGGAGGGGCCACCCGAUACUGCCAUGACUGGAGUCCGGUAGAGGAGUGUGGAAUUCCCGGUGUAGCGGUGAAAUGCGCAGAUAUCGGGAGGAACACCCGUAGCGAAGGCGGCACUCUGGGCCGGAACUGACGCUGAGGAGCGAAAGCGUGGGGAGCAAACAGG
rnacentral:rRNA from 1 species